CCCCUCUCAGGAUCACACCUGGAGGGUUUCCAGUCCUCUACCAGUCUCAGCUACAGGAGGGAGAGUCAAGCAGAAACCAACCCAUUCCAUUCCUAGCUUGGGCAGUGGCUAGAAAGUGGAAGGCGAUCUGCUACAAGU